rnacentral:rRNA from 1 species
UGGGGAAUAUUGGGCAAUGGGCGCAAGCCUGACCCAGCAACGCCGCGUGAAGGAAGAAGGCCCUCGGGUUGUAAACUUCUUUUAACAGGGACGAAACAAAUGACGGUACCUGUUGAAUAAGCCACGGCUAACUACGUGCC